GACGAACGCUGGCGGCGUGCUUAACACAUGCAAGUCGUACGGUAAGGCCCUUUCGGGGGUACACGAGUGGCGAACGGGUGAGUAACACGUGAGUAACCUGCCCACAACUUUGGGAUAACGCUAGGAAACUGGUGCUAAUACUGGAUAUGUGCUCCUGCUGCAUGGUGGGGGUUGGAAAGCUCCGGCGGUUGUGGAUGGACUCGCGGCCUAUCAGCUUGUUGGUGGGGUAGUGGCCUACCAAGGCGGCGACGGGUAGCCGGCCUGAGAGGGUGACCGGCCACAUUGGGGCUGAGAUACGGCCCAGGCUCCUACGGGUGGCAGCAGUGGGGAAUAUUGCACAAUGGGCGCAAGCCUGAUGCAGCAACGCCGCGUGCGGGAUGACGGCCUUCGGGUUGUAAACCGCUUUCAGCAGGGACGAAGCUUUUUGUGACGGUACCUGCAGAAGAAGCACCGGCUAACUACGUG
rnacentral:rRNA from 1 species